UUUAGUGGCGGACGGGUGAGUAACACGUGAGCAACCUGCCUUCGAGAGGGGAAUAACGGCUGGAAACGGUCGCUAAUACCGCAUAACAUACAGGAGGGACAUCCCUUUUGUAUCAAAGAUUUAUCGCUCGAAGAUGGGCUCGCGUCCGAUUAGGUAGUUGGUGAGGUAACGGCCCACCAAGCCGACGAUCGGUAGCCGGACUGAGAGGUUGAACGGCCACAUUGGGACUGAGACACGGCCCAGACUCCUACGGGAGGCAGCAG
rnacentral:rRNA from 1 species